CCUACGGGUGGCAGCAGUGGGGGAUAUUGCACAAUGGGGGAAACCCUGAUGCAGCGACGCCGCGUGAGUGAAGAAGUAUUUCGGUAUGUAAAGCUCUAUCAGCAGGGAAGAAAAGAGACGGUACCUGACUAAGAAGCCCCGGCAAACUACGUGCAAGCAGCCGCGGUAAGACGUAGGGGGCAAGCUUUAUCCGGAUUUACUGGGUGAAAAGGGAGCGUAGACGGCAAGAAAAGUCGGAAGUGAAAUCCCCGGGCUCAACCUGGGAACUGCUUGGGAAACUGUAUGGCUGGAGUGCUGGAGAGGUAAGCGGAAUUCCUAGUGUAGCGGUGAAAUGCGUAGAUAUUAGGAGGAACACCAGUGGCGAAGGCGGCUUACUGGACAGUAACUGACGUUGAGGCUCGAAAGCGUGGGGAGCAAACAGGAUUAGAUACCCGGGUAGUC
rnacentral:rRNA from 1 species